rnacentral:lncRNA from 13 species
CAGUGCAGGGUGGUGGAGGUGACUUGAAGGCCAAAAAAACUGUCACUUUUACUUGUAGUGAGAUAAAUUGUGUUGAGCAUUAUUUCUGUUUCAACAGGACUGGUUCACUGUUGUGUUGAGAACAGAUUCUGGAUGCCAUGGUGGAAGCAGGAAGACCAAUUUCAAAGAUAUUGGAAUAAUUCAGGAUUCUGAAUAUGUGGGCCUACUUUUCUAGAAGAUUGUAAUAAAAGCCACCAAAGCAAUUCUGGACCA